rnacentral:rRNA from 1 species
CGCGUAGGCGGAUAGUUUAGUCAGAGGUGAAAGCCCAGGGCUCAACCUUGGAAUUGCCUUUGAUACUGGCUAUCUUGAGUUCGGGAGAGGUGAGUGGAACUCCGAGUGUAGAGGUGAAAUUCGUAGAUAUUCGGAAGAACACCAGUGGCGAAGGCGACUCACUGGCCCGAUACUGACGCUGAGGCGCGGAAGCGUGGGAGCAAACA